rnacentral:rRNA from 1 species
AACCUGCGGAGGGAUCAUUCAGAGUUUAACGACAUCCCAACCACUGUGACAUACCCGUACCGUUGCCUCGGCGGGGGCCCCAGGGGGGGCCCAGCCUCCUCGCGGAGGCGCCUGCCGCAGGUCACAAAACUAUACCGAUAUUUAGUGGCAUCUCUGAGUAACUUCCAAACAAUCAAAACUUUCAACAACGGAUCUCUUGGUUCUGGCAUCGAUGAAGAACGCAGCGAAAUGCGAUAAGUAAUGUGAAUUGCAGAAUUCAGUGAAUCAUCGAAUCUUUGAACGCACAUUGCGCCCGCCAGCAUUCUGGCGGGCAUGCCUGUCCGAGCGUCAUUUCAACCCUCAAGCCCUGCUUGGUGUUGGGGCACUACGCGCAAGCGUAGGCCCUCAAAAUUAGUGGCGGACUCGCUGGAGGUCCGGGCGUAGUAAUACAUCUCGCCCGAGGUCCCCAGCGUGCCCCUGCCGUUAAACCCCCAAACUUACAGAAGGUUGACCUCGGAUCAGGUAGGAAUACCCGCUGAACUUAAGCAUAUCAAUAAGCGGAGAA